rnacentral:rRNA from 1 species
CGGGGUGCAGCAGGCGCGAAAACUUUACACUGCGGGAAACCGCGAUAAGGGGACCCCGAGUGCCAGCACCUAGUGCUGGCUGUCCAGCUGUCCAAAUAACAGUUGUUAGCAAGGGCCGGGCAAGACCGGUGCCAGCCGCCGGUAACACCGGCGGCCCGAGUGGUAGCCGUUAUUAUUGGGUUUAAAGGGUCCGUAGCCGGCCUAUUAAGUCUCUUGGGAAAUCUGGCGACUCAAUCGUCAGUCGUCCAAGAGAUACUGGUAGGCUUGGGACCGGGAGAGGUGGGAGGUACUCCAGGGGUAGGGGUGAAAUCUCGUAAUCCUUGGGGGACCACCGAUGGCGAAGGCAUCCCACCAGAACGGGUCCGACGGUGAGGGACGAAAGCUGGGGGCACGAACCGGAUUAGAUACCCGGGUAGUCCCAGCCGUAAACGAUGCUCGCUAGGUGUCAGGUGCGGUGCGACCGCAUCUGGUGCCGCAGUGAAAACUUGAAGCGAGUCACCUGGGAAGUACGGUCGCAAGGCUGAAACUUAAAGGAAUUGGCGGGGGAGCAC